CCUACGGGAGGCAGCAGUAGGGAAUCUUUCACAAUGGGCGAAAGCCUGAUGGAGCAACGCCGCGUGCAGGAUGAAGGCCUUCGGGUUGUAAACUGCUUUUAUAAGCGAGAAAUAUGAUGGUAACUUAUGAAUAAGGAUCGGCUAACUACGUGCCAGCAGCCGCGGUCAUACGUAGGAUCCGAGCAUUAUCCGGAGUGACUGGGUGUAAAGAGUUGCGUAGGUGGCAUAAUAAGUAGCUAGUGAAAUCUGGUGGCUCAAACAUUCAGACUAUUAGCUAAACUGUUAAGCUCGAGACCGUUAGGGGUAACUGGAAUUUCUAGUGUAGGAGUGAAAUCCGUAGAUAUUAGAAGGAACACCAAUCGCGUAGGCAGGUUGCUGGGACGGUUCUGACACUAAGGCACGAAAGCGUAGGGAGCAAACGGGAUUAGAUACCCGAGUAGUC
rnacentral:rRNA from 1 species